UACUAGAGUAGCACUCGCAUAUCAAUAAGCGGAGGAAAAGAAACUAACAAGGAUUCCCCUAGUAACGGCGAGUGAAGCGGGAAGAGCUCAAAUUUGAAAUCUUAAAGGGUUUCCCUUUACGAAUUGUAGUUUAAAGAAGUGUUUUCUGUUGAGGUUUUGGUAAAAGUUCUUUGGAAUAGGACAUCAUAGAGGGUGAGAAUCCCGUAUUUGACCUUUACUUUCAACUUUGUGAUACACCUUCAAAGAGUCGGAUUGUUUGGGAAUGCAGUCCAAAAUGGGUGGUAAAUUUCAUCUAAAGCUAAAUAUUGGCGAGAGACCGAUAGCGAACAAGUACCGUGAGGGAAAGAUGAAAAGAACUUUGAAAAGAGAGUUAAACAGUACGUGAAAUUGUCAAAAGGGAAGCGUUUGACACCAGUGUUGUUUUUCUGAAAAUCAAUUAAAGAACUGUUUAUGCUAAGCUGUUUAGACUUUAUCAGCUAUCUGUUUAGUUUUGAGCUUUUCUUUAAUGCACUUUUCAGUUAACAAGUCAACAUCAAUUUCUUUUGCUGUAAAAAAGCUUGAGGAAGGUGGCUUGAGAUUCGUCUUAAGUGUUUAUAGCCUCUUGCCUAUGCAGUCGGAGAGAUUGAGGUCUGCAGCGUAGAUCCUUCGGGGCUAAAUGCAUUUGUGCUAAGUUAUAGCAUUUUAUAGACAACUUGUUGACUAUGAUUUGUCUUGUAGCUUACUCGCUUAUGUUAUUUUACCUACGCUUAGGAUGUUGAGUAGCGACAUACGCAC
rnacentral:rRNA from 1 species